GGAACCUAAAUUUCAUUUCCAAAAUCUAUUUAAACAUUGUCUCUUGUUUCUUGCUGUUGCAGGUCUUAGGCUGGCUGUAUUGUAUUGCAUAGGGUCUUUUAAAAGGCUGUUUUGUGAAGGGGGCAGUGGUUGCCCAGGCCUGUAAUCCCAGUCUUGAGUCUCGAGGGUUUCUCUGUACAUCCUUGGCUGGCCUCGAACUUGCUAUGUGGACCAGACUAGUCUAGAAUUCAAAGAUACUCCUGUCUGCUCUGGCCUCCCAGUGCUGGGAUUACAGGCUUGGACUUCUAAAAGAGAUUCAGGUUUGUCACUCAAACAGCCCCAACCCACCGCGGGGAGCCUUGGCACCGCCCACA
rnacentral:lncRNA from 1 species